UUUGGUGCAGUGAUUAUAAAACAUUCCUCGUACUGACGGGAAAUCCCUGUGAACGACAUCUAUACACCCAUAGAAUCUGAGCAUCA
rfam:Triticum aestivum genome assembly, contig: Triticum_aestivum_CS42_TGACv1_scaffold_033948_1BL